GGGGGCGAUAGGUUUCGACAGGGAAAUAGCAUCAUAAGUUGCGCGCCGAGGACCCGCUGGCCUCGUUAAAAGCGGGAAGCCUAUAAACGGCACAAAUCAGUACGCAUUGGCUGCUUAAUGCAACCCGUCCGCCCGGUCUAAGCCGAAGUGACCGGAUACGGGCGUCACAAGAUUCGGCUAACCUGUAGGAAAGGCUCGUGGUCCUCCAGGGAAACCAAGCGAGCUGGCGUAUAGGAAUCCUGCCUGUGGGAGUCUGAAAGCGCGAGAACCAAAUCGCAGGACACGCGCGUAGACGCUUAUGAAUGCUUUUCCUUGGACCCGGGUUCGAAUCCCGGCGCCUCCACCA
rnacentral:tmRNA from 1 species